GAUGAACGCUGGCGACGUGCCUAAUACAUGCAAGUCGAGCGAACAGACGAGGAGCUUGCUCCUCUGACGUUAGCGGCGGACGGGUGAGUAACACGUGGAUAACCUACCUAUAAGACUGGGAUAACUUCGGGAAACCGGAGCUAAUACCGGAUAAUAUAUUGAACCGCAUGGUUCAAUAGUGAAAGACGGUUUUGCUGUCACUUAUAGAUGGAUCCGCGCCGCAUUAGCUAGUUGGUAAGGUAACGGCUUACCAAGGCAACGAUGCGUAGCCGACCUGAGAGGGUGAUCGGCCACACUGGAACUGAGACACGGUCCAGACUCCUACGGGAGGCAGCAGUAGGGAAUCUUCCGCAAUGGGCGAAAGCCUGACGGAGCAACGCCGCGUGAGUGAUGAAGGUCUUCGGAUCGUAAAACUCUGUUAUUAGGGAAGAACAAAUGUGUAAGUAACUAUGCACGUCUUGACGGUACCUAAUCAGAAAGCCACGGCUAACUACGU
rnacentral:rRNA from 1 species